AACGCGAAGAACCUUACCCAGACUUGACAUGCAGUGGAAUAUAGCAGAAAUGUUAUAGCCCUUCGGGGCCGCUGCACAGGUGCUGCAUGGCUGUCGUCAGCUCGUGCCGUGAGGUGUUGGGUUAAGUCCCGCAACGAGCGCAACCCUUAUCAUUAGUUGCCAACACGUGAAGGUGGGAACUCUAAUGAGACUGCCUGGGUUAACCAGGAGGAAGGUGAGGAUGACGUCAAGUCCGCAUGGCCCUUAUGUCUGGGGCUACACACGUGCUACAAUGGUCGGUACAGAAGGCAGCGAAACCGUGAGGUGAAGCAAAUCCCAAAAGCCGGCCUCAGUUCAGAUUGUAGUCUGCAACUCGACUACAUGAAGUUGGAAUUGCUAGUAAUGGCAGGUCAGCACACUGCCGUGAAUACGUUCCCGGGUCUUGUACACACCG
rnacentral:rRNA from 1 species